UGAUGGCAGGAGACUCAUUCAUGUGGCCAGCUCAGUGCCUGCUCAUGGGCAUGAUCUUUGCUACUCUUGCUAAAAACAGAAGAUUGAUCCAGCCCGGUCACCAGGAGCAGGCAAUGGGCCAGGACCCUCUUUGGUCCCCACCUCUGAUGAAUUAGCUAGCUCACUUGGAAUAGAACUUAGCCAGAUAGCCUAACCUGACUGCAAAGGAGAUUGGGAAAUGGAGAGAAGCCCAUGAAGAUCUGGGCAAUGGCCAAAGGAUAUGGACCGGAGAGAGAGAACCAACAGUUACGUCAACUAUGUGUCAGGUGUUUUAUAAAUAUAAUUUCAUUUCAUCCCAGAGCAAUCUUGGGGAGCUGUGAGUCC